rnacentral:rRNA from 1 species
GACCCUAUAGAGUUUUAUAUUUAAUUAAUAAAUUAUUUUUUAGAAUUUAAUAUUAAUUUAUUUAUUAAAUAUUUGAUUGGGGUGAUUGAAAAAUUUAAGAAACUUUUUUUAUAUAAAAACAUUGAUUUAUGAUUUUUUGAUCCAUUAUUUAUGAUUAUAAGAUUAAAUUACCUUAGGGAUAACAGCGUAAUUUUUUUUGAGAGUUCAAAUCGAAAAAAAAGAUUGCGACCUCGAUGUUGGAUUAAAAUUUAUUUUUGGUGUAGAAGCUAAAUAUAUUGGGUCUGUUCGACCUUUAAAAUUUUACAUGAUCUGA